CUUAGUGGCGGACGGGUGAGUAACGCGUGGGUAACCUGCCCCAUACCGGGGGAGUACCACCUGGAAACAGGUGCUAAUACCGCAUAAGCGCACGGGAGCGCAUGCUCCUGUGUGAAAAACUCCGGUGGUAUGGGAUGGACCCGCGUCUGAUUAGCCAGUUGGCAGGGUAACGGCCUACCAAAGCGACGAUCAGUAGCCGGCCUGAGAGGGUGGACGGCCACAUUGGGACUGAGACACGGCCCAAACUCCUACGGGAGGCAGCAG
rnacentral:rRNA from 1 species